rnacentral:rRNA from 1 species
UACGUAGGCAGCGAGCGUUGUUCGGAGUUACUGGGCGUAAAGCGUGCGUAGGCGGUGUCUUAAGUUUGUUGUGAAAUCUCCCGGCUUAACCGGGAGGGUGCGGCGAAUACUGAGAUGCUGGAGUGCCGGAGAGGUAAGCGGAAUUCCUGGUGUAGCGGUGAAAUGCGUAGAUAUCAGGAGGAACACCUGCGGUGUAGACGGCUUACUGGACGGUAACUGACGCUGAGGCACGAAGCGUGGGUAGCAAACAGG